UUUANNNNNNNNNNNNNNNNNNNNCCCCCAUUAGCUGCGUUCCCAAUUUUUAAACUCGAUGCCUCCUCUAGUGUUAUUUAUAAUCUCUAUGAGUACUACAGCGACCGUAGAAGAUUAAUACUUGAGGCUCAUAGUCAUACUCAAUUUUUGUAUGAAAAUAGAUUGCUUUAGUGGCCUAAAAUAAAUAACGUCAUAGGCGUAGAGUAUGGGGGGGGCUUUGGAGCUCGAGCCCCUCCAGAAAUCUUACACCGGGGGCUUAGCCCCUGCAGACGUUUUGCAGAACUAAUAGCUGUUAAUGUUGUUAUUUUUUGGGGGGGCUAAGUACCGAAAUUUGGUAUGAAAAAUUGAGAUAAAGUACCUGGAAAGCAAUUGCAACCUACACGUCCGGAAAUUUUUUUUACCUAAAAAGUUGUCGACGGGGGGGGGGGUCGAGUCAGAAUCAUCCCAACCCCUCUGUUACAUUCUUUCUGCAGUGCCCCCCCCCAGAAAUUGAGAGCCAGCUACGGGCUUGUUUAUACGGGGCUUAAGUGUUAUGCUCAACGUGCGUUGAAAAUCUUAUAACUCCUCCUUCGUUGAUUUUGUUUUCGGAGAACUUUUUGGGUCAAAAGUCCAAAAACCAGAUGCUUUUCCUUCCACAUCGCGAGUUCUCUUUACGAAAGCUGAAAAUGAGGACACGCAGUUUCCGAUAAAUACUUUAGAUUUUGUUAAAAUUGCCAGAUCUAUGAUUGGCCCAUCAAUGAUGUGCGGGUUCUGUCGUUGAUGGAUAGUAACC
rnacentral:lncRNA from 1 species